rnacentral:lncRNA from 1 species
AAGUAAACCCUAGAAUCUCUUUAAAUAUGGACAUUCACCUAAAAUAGAAUAUUUUAUAACAGAAAGUAUUUUUUGUUAAUAUGCUAGUACAUUCAUUUUUAAGGAAUAAAGACGAUAUAAGAUUUCUUCAUGAAUUAGUAUUUAAACCAUAUUGAUCUUUUCUGAUUUGUCUGAAGACUACAAAUGAACCUACACGUGAUUCCUUUCUAUAUUAAAUCAGAUACUAUGAUUUAUGGCUUUCUUUCCCUUAUGCUUAAAUGCUCAUAUUCUGAGUAUGAGUUUAGAAGAAAGAAUUAGCUAAGAAUAUCCUACAAAUAAGUGAGUUAUACUCGUUAUUUAGCAUGCCCCAAAAGGUCUCGUCAAUAGUUCUUCUACCCUAAGCUCAUUUAGAAAUGUAGACUCUCUGUCAAAUCUACAACAACAACAACCCAGUAUAAUCCCACUUACUGGAAUCUGGGGAGGGUAGUAUAUACGCUGAUCUUACCCCUACCCUUGGAUAGAGAGGCUGUUUCCAAAUAGACCCCCGGCAUCCUUCCCUC